GACGUCACAGGCGGCCACUGAGGAGCGGGGCGGGGGUGGGGGGGGGCGCGCGCAGGUGCAUCCGCUUCCCUCAGGGCGCCUCCCGCCCGCCGUCCCGGGACAGCGCCCGGGGAAAGGGUGAGGGGAGGGGAGAGGGAAGACCGGAGGAGGGCGCGGAGGCAACGCCGUCACCAGAGGAGGCGGUGGCGGGGAAGAGGAGGAGAAGAAGCCGGCGCGGAGCCUCGCCUCACCUCGCCUCGCCUCACAGCCCCUCCGCCGUCCCCGCCUCGCCGUCCACGGCCGCCGGAGUCACCGGCGGCCGCGCGUCCUCAUGAUGGCCUCGACCCCCUGCACACGCUUCACCGACGAGUACCAGCUCUUCGAGGAGCUCGGAAAAGGGGCGUUCUCCGUCGUGAGGAGGUGUAUGAAAAUCACCACAGGACAAGAGUACGCUGCCAAAAUUAUCAACACCAAAAAGCUUUCAGCUAGGGAUCACCAGAAACUGGAGAGAGAAGCUAGAAUCUGUCGCCUCCUGAAGCAUCCUAAUAUCGUGCGGCUUCAUGACAGCAUAUCAGAAGAAGGAUUCCAUUACUUAGUCUUUGACUUAGUCACUGGAGGUGAAUUGUUUGAAGAUAUAGUUGCAAGAGAGUAUUAUAGUGAAGCAGAUGCCAGUCAUUGUAUACAGCAGAUUCUAGAAAGUGUUAAUCAUUGUCAUCUAAAUGGCAUAGUUCACAGAGACCUGAAGCCUGAGAACUUACUUCUAGCUAGCAAAUCCAAGGGAGCGGCAGUCAAACUGGCAGACUUUGGAUUGGCUAUAGAAGUCCAGGGAGAACAACAGGCUUGGUUUGGCUUUGCUGGUACUCCAGGAUACCUUUCUCCAGAAGUGUUACGAAAAGAUCCUUAUGGAAAACCUGUGGAUAUGUGGGCAUGUGGAGUCAUUCUGUACAUCCUCCUGGUGGGAUACCCUCCCUUCUGGGAUGAAGACCAGCACAGGCUUUACCAGCAGAUCAAGGCUGGUGCUUAUGAUUUCCCCUCGCCAGAAUGGGACACGGUGACUCCUGAAGCAAAAGACCUUAUCAAUAAAAUGCUCACCAUCAACCCAGCAAAACGUAUCACAGCAUCAGAAGCACUAAAGCAUCCAUGGAUCUGUCAACGUUCUACUGUUGCCUCUAUGAUGCACAGACAAGAGACUGUAGAUUGCUUGAAGAAAUUCAAUGCAAGAAGAAAACUAAAGGGGGCCAUUUUGACAACAAUGCUGGCUACCAGAAAUUUCUCAGCAGCCAAGAGUUUACUGAAAAAGCCGGAUGGAGUUAAGAAAAGGAAGUCCAGUUCGAGUGUUCAGAUGAUGAUAAACAACAAAACCAACGUGGUAACCAGCCCCAAGGAAAAUAUUCCUACCCCGGCGCUGGAGCCCCAAACUACAGUAAUCCACAACCCUGAUGGAAAUAAGGAAUCAACAGAGAGUUCCAACACGACCAUCGAAGAUGAGGAUGUGAAAGCGGGCAAGUCCAUGAGAAAUGCAAACUCAGAGAGUCAAUCGCUUGAGUCUGAGCUCUCCCACUCCACUCCUUCCUCUGUACUAUCUCGUAAGCAGGAGAUUAUCAAGGUGACCGAGCAGUUGAUUGAAGCCAUCAACAACGGGGACUUCGAAGCUUACACAAAAAUCUGUGACCCAGGCCUUACGUCUUUUGAACCUGAAGCUUUGGGUAAUCUGGUAGAAGGGAUGGACUUCCACCGGUUUUACUUUGAAAAUGCUCUGUCCAAAAGCAACAAGCCGAUCCACACGAUCAUCCUGAACCCGCACGUGCACCUGGUGGGCGAGGACGCGGCGUGCAUCGCCUACAUCCGCCUGACGCAGUACAUGGACGGCAGCGGCAUGCCAAAGACUAUGCAGUCCGAGGAGACGCGCGUGUGGCACCGGCGCGACGGCAAGUGGCAGAACGUGCACUUCCACCGCUCGGGCUCGCCCACCGUCCCCAUCAAGUAAGGAACAGCCCCACCACCAGCUCACACCUCCUAGGCACACCACAUAGUCCAAUAGCUGCUUUGGGCCUUAAAAACUGCGAGCCGUCCUCUGGUAGCGUCAUUUAUUGUGGUUGUUCAUUAUGUAUUAUACCCACUGCUGUGCGUAGCAUUGGUGAGAUUUCUAAAAUAAUGUGCUUUUUUGGUUGUUGUUUCCUACUGUGAUGCCCACCAGUCCAACUCGGUCCCUGAACUGACAGCUUGAAGAGCAGGACAGUGUCUUAAUGUAGAGAAAGCUUGAUAGAAGUCAUACAAAACAGGAUUAGAAAACCUGGAAUACAAUUGCUGGAAAACCCGGGAAAAUAAAAAGCAGUAGCAUACAUGCAGCUGUCAGAGCUAACCAGAAAGUUUCAAGUAAAAUGCAUCACUAUUGGGAAAAACUGAAGUUUGAUUAAUAUUUAGUGUGGUUUCUAGCCACCUCUACCUUCCCAGGCCUAGGUAUGUUCACUGCAAGUUGGGUUUGAGCCAGUUUACACAUUUCCCUUGUAAAUUGAGCCAUCCCAGUCCCUCUCACGUUCUUAUCUCUUUCCCCACACUCUCUGUGCAUAACUGCUGAGUAUUCCUUGUUGGGCAGUUCUGACGUCCCCAUGGGACAGCCUCGCCUCUCUCCCAUCAGCAUUUCUCUCUGCUGUUCAUCCAGGCCCUGCCACACCCUCGGCGUCAGGCAGGGUACCGAGUUCCUUGAGCCACAUUGUCACCAGGGUUAAUGACAGCACACUCGGGAUUGCAGUAACAAAAUAAUCACAGCUCACUCAGGAGGUUCUGCUCGGGCCAUUGGCUUCUCUGCUUCUUCAGCAGCCUUCGCUGAUGAGUCCAGACCUCAGUGACUUGCGGUUUCCUAAAUAGGCAGCCCUGGUCCAGGCCUGGCUUUGCUCAGUUGUGAGCCCUCUGUAUAGGAUACAAUUCCAUUUGCAUCAGUGUCUUAAGGUGGACAGUGGCUGAAUUUCCUGGCAUGGAUGGUAAGGGCUUAGAUUUCAUCUUUUGAACCAUCAUGUCUCAUAUAUUACUCCUCACAACACUCUUCUCCUAUACGAAAUAAUACUUGAUGAAGUAGGAAAUAAGGUAGAAUAAAGUGUUAAACUUCCAUGGUGAUGAUUUUGUAUUUUUUUCUUAUUAAUGAAAAAAGAAAUUUUACUACUUAGUGGUAACUGUUUUAUUUCCAAAUGUGAAACCAAUGGGAACAGGAGCCACAUGUCCUUUGUUUCUCACAGUCAGCUGCACUGCCAGUGUUUCAACAGAUAGUAUUCAAAGAGCAGUUACUCUUCCUUGAAAUGCAGUUUUAGGUAAAUCUUUGAGGUUUUCAUAAAGGUGUAGUUGUCAAGGGAUCUGAGCUGGGUGUGUGUAGAACCAGAAAGCCCAAGUGAAGCAGGUUCACCUGGCUCACUGCACCCUGAACAGUCAGUGUUUACAGGACAAUGACAUGAAAUGGACUAGAGAAUCAUUUAAUCUUUUCCUCUGAUUUUUUCUUCCACCUUUGUCUUUUUGGGAAGGUACUGCAGGAGGUCCUUUGCAUCUGCUUGUGCUCUCUAAAAAAGAUGAGGAUUUCUGGGACUGCCAAGUGUGGAAGGAGAAGAAAAAUCACCAUGGAGUAAUUUUUUUUGCAGUUGCAGGGUGGCUUCUGUAUUGGUGAAUCUUUUGAGCCAAUGGGGUCAGAGAUUUCAGGAUUGCGAGGGGUGUACAAAAUUAAGGGGUCGCAGAGGAGCCUUAGAGCCAGACUGAGGCUUAGGGAGAGAUUCUUUGAGUUAGCAACAAAGCCCUACAUGUGUAGCACUGGCAGCAAUAUCACAUUAAUCCCAUAACCAGCUUUCAUCUUGAAUUCAGGGGAGGUUUUUGGACUUGCUCCUAUCACUGUUCCAGGAUAUCAUCGAUCUGAUGGUUAGGAGCCUUGCUUUCCAGUGUAAAGUUUGGUCAUCUUCAGUGUAUCCUUGGUUCUUCUGUGUCAUGGUUGUUCUCCUUCACUGGUUAGGUGUGCAGACAUGAACUGGCUAGUAGGAAGGCUAGAUCAUUCCCACCUUUUACUUCCGUAGGGUAAACAGCCAGUGCUACCUCAGAUGGCCUUGUCUGAUAGGAUCUCCAUUUUCCUAGUACCUUAUCUCCCUACUGUCUUUUUUUGUUUGAGGUUUGCCUUUCCAUUAGCUUGGCUUCCUCUGAAAUGCUCUGUCUAGUUGUGGUCAGGGCUUUAUUUAAUUCCUCAAUGUCUUUCUUCUCCCUGCUCUGUUCUUGCACAAUUUUUGCACUUUUGUUGUCUGAGGCAGCCACUUAUUUAUCCUCAACUCUCAUUUCCAGCCAGUGAGUACAUAGAAACUUUUACAGAGCUUUGCACUGCCUAUUAUUCCAUGUAAUAUUUUUGGAUUACUCAGCCCUCAAGGUUAUUUGGCUCUCCUUGCACGAUGCUCCUGUUUUCUUUUCUUUUUAUAGUGCCUUUCACCUAAGUGUCAGUAUGCUACGUGAGAUCACUCCUACUGCUCGUGCUCAGCGCUAGGGAGUCUCCUCUAGGCUGAUAACUCCCUUUCCAGCACAAACAUUGUCAUUCUUUCUUUAUUCCCAAUCUUCCAAAGUCUGACUGGGAGAUUGCCAUGUAGCACCAAGCUAGACCCAUCUUCUUUUAUAACCCAUCCUGAACGUUUUUACACUGUCUCAAGUUUCACCUUUGCUUUUCCCAGUCAGAGCAUCAAUAACUCCAUUUUGGAAAACUAGAGGAACGUAAUUAACUGAUUGUUCUAGUUCCUUUAUUUGAAAUGUAUACAGUCUACAGCUCUUUAUUUAAAUAUUACCAACACACAGUAGUUAAUAAUGGCGUUUCCAUAAUAAAAAAGUAUUUAACACAUCAUGUCUGAAGAUGAAUUUCAAAUCUAAUAAAGUUGCAAAAGCAAUUAUAGCUAUGAUCUGCUAGACACGGUAUCCUAGAUGGUGUUAAACCAGUUGCUGCAAGCACAAUAGCUUCCUUGUUUUCAGGAAGGAGUGUGCGUAAGUCCAAGGAUAGAACUGAGCUCUUGGGUAGCUAUAGGGAAAUGUUUCCUUGUGGCAGAGAACUUAGUUGAAAAAGGAUAUGAGCACAUAUAUAUGUGUUUAGUAUAGUUUAUAAAUAAAUUUUAUUUGCGGUUUUGCUGUGAGUGACGUGAGGUUCUUAGGGACCUGUGCUAAUGUGUUUCUGCAGAGCUGUCCUGGGAGACUGCACCUGCCCACUAUGGGCAAAGGGCUGCUGGGCCUAAAAGUGACUCCCUAACUAACUUCAGCCUCAAUGAGGCUUGUGGUCCCUCCCUGAUCGCUGCUCACUCUUUCUUACGCUUUGAUAAGCGCAGUGCCAGAGAGCAAGAAUGCAGAGUAAAGAGUUUGUUCUGUGUUUGUGCAGUGCCUAGCGCAGAGGGAUCCCACCACGGCUCCAGCCCCUAGAUGCUACGCUAAAAAUAUCAGCGGUGCCGCUCUUGCAUUUUCUGUACCCAAUGCACCUGGUUGAUUACCAUCUUGGCCAUCCCGUUCUCUUCAUGCAUGUUUCUGAGUGCAUGAAGUUGUGAAGGUUCUUCAUGUAACACAUUUGUGAUGCACCACGUUGCUGUAUAUUCCAUCUGUACACUGUUAACAUUUCAAUGAAGGUGAUGUUCCAUGCAAAUAGAGAAUAACAAGGCGUAAAAGACAAAAAAGAGAUAUUGGAUGGACAGCAGUAGACACACAAUACAUUUGUCACUUGCUCCAUUUAUGCCAAGUUUUGACAGACAACUUUAAAAUCUAACGCGUUUAUUAAAAAAAAAGAGGAAAAAAAAAGAAAAAGUAUAUUUUACCUUCUUUUUUUAAGAACUGUUUUUUGACUCCUCCUUUUCUCCUGAGUCCCAGGAUUUUGCUUUGGUUCUGGUAGGAAUGGUUAGGAUUUCCGCUGGCAGCUCCAUUACUGUAAAACAGAUUUUUAUCCUAGAUGGACAAAAUCACUGAUAAAUGGGGAAGUGUUAAUAUCUUGGCUUUGGACCAGCUGCAGUCUUCUAUAGUUUAUUAGUCUAUAUAAACUGGAAAAAUCUCCUCAUUUGCUGGCCUGGCCACUCCAGAAUUUACUGUCAGUGUUCUUCUGGUGAGUCAGCAGCUUCCGUUUUCCUUUUGAGUCCUUUUCGCUUUCUUAUUUUGCUUAACCGAACGGUUCUGUUGGAUGAUUAAGCAAAAUUAAAAAUUAUAAGGAACUAAGUGAUAAUUGAGAGACAGUUUUUGAGGAUUAAAAUGGAAGGAAAGAGAAAGAUUUUUAUCGCUUUUAGGAUGUACUGUAAAUUUUUUAAGGAGGCUUUAAAAAAUAUAAUAUGUGGGUUAAUGUAUAGACCAGUUGUGUGGAUAAUAUACUCAAGAAAUAUUAGGCCUUAAAGCUAAGUAUGAAGAGUUUACUCACAUUACACUGCUGCUGUUGCUUCUCUGGAAAUGAAUUACGGAGACACCGGUUUUCCGCGGGACCCUGACACUUUACCACAGGUUUGUGUCUCCCCCUCUUGCCCUCAAUCCACUCGUGGUUGCUCAAGCUCCCCGGCGGCGUUCGGUGUCGAGGCCGGUGAUCCCGAUGGGUUUGUCCCGGCUCCAGGCCGAGGGAGGAACGCUGUGCUGGCAGCACGGAACGCAAACUGCAACAGGGACUAGUUCUCCUUCCCUCACGUUACUGUAAAAAUACACCCUCGCAAGAAUUUCAGUUUCUUCCCUUCCACUGGUCCAGGAAAGCCCAGGCUGGGCUGCUCCUGUUCUCCCUGCGGUUCUGUUGGCAGCAGACUCCUGCUCCCGCAGCGCUGUACAGUGCAUGGUGUCUGAGUCAGUGUCCUUUUUAACCGUCCAAAAUUUACAACUCGGCAGCCAGAACUUUUUAAAAUGGGAAAGCUUCCUAAUUUGUAUCAUUUCACCUUUCUGUGUUGAUUACUAAUCAGAAGCAGUUCUUAAACAUGUUGAUGUUGUUACUAGUGGAUGUAUGGUAGAUGGACUUAAGCUUCUCUGAUAAUUACUACAUGAUUUUAAACAAUAUAUAUUUAAAGUAAGCAUCUACAAUAAAUGUGUUGAGCCAUAUUAACCUGCCAAUGGGAUCUGUGAAAAAAGUAAUGGCCUCAUUUUUUUCUCAUUAAUUUCUUUUCUUUUUUUCUUUUUUUUUUUUUUUUUUUUUUUUUUUUUUUUUUUUUUUUUUGUGAAGCGGCUAUAAGUGGCAUAACUGUAUUUAAAAUUAACAAAUUAGGUGUAGGGUGUUUUUUUUAUACUUCUAACAUAGCAUGUGGUGUUGAUGUAUUACUGUAGACCAAGUCUGUCUUCCACACCAAGACAUGAGGAACUUGUGAUUUGUUCUCUCCACCACAACUGAAUUAUACACUUCUGUCAUUUUGGAACACUGCAGUUUACCAUGGGACACAGUGUACAUAUUUCUUGCCAUAAUGGUAAAUGAUUGAUAUAUUUAAGGAUUAAUAAAUUUGUGAUUUCUGCUGA